AUGGGGAUGCAAGAUUUGGCUGCCGGGGUGGCUGAUGCGUGGAGGUGCAGCGAGGGUAGGUCCGAAGGUGGGCUGACGGAUUGGCUGUGGACUAGAGGAUUUCGAGGGCUGGGUGAAAACCUAUUUCUGGCCAUGGCUGGAGCCUGUGACGGCGGCGUCCGUGGACGCCGUGACCUUCCUGAAGGCGUCGACGGGAUACUCUCUUUUUCUCUGCGAGGGACAACUUCGGGGGAAACUCCAGACCCGAGGGUCGGUCGUUGGCGGCGUGUUGACGUUGUUCCCCUCUUGAGGGCAUCGAUUUUGGAGGUUAAUCCAGUCAGAGGGACCAGUGGGUGUGUUGGGAGAUUGGGUGGUGGAAGGCAUUGA
rnacentral:rRNA from 1 species